rnacentral:rRNA from 1 species
GAUGAACGCUGGCGGCGUGCCUAAUACAUGCCAGUCGAGCGAACAGACGAGGAGCUUGCUCCUCUGACGUUAGCGGCGGACGGGUGAGUAACACGUGGAUAACCUACCUAUAAGACUGGGAUAACUUCGGGAAACCGGAGCUAAUACCGGAUAAUAUAUUGAACCGCAUGGUUCAAUAGUGAAAGACGGUUUUGCUGUCACUUAUAGAUGGAUCCGCGCCGCAUUAGCUAGUUGGUAAGGUAACGGCUUACCAAGGCAACGAUGCGUAGCCGACCUGAGAGGGGGAUCGGCCACACUGGAACUGAGACACGGUCCAGACUCCUACGGGAGGCAGCAGUAGGGAAUCUUCCGCAAUGGGCGAAAGCCUGACGGAGCAACGCCGCGUGAGUGAUGAAGGUCUUCGGAUCGUAAAACUCUGUUAUUAGGGAAGAACAAAUGUGUAAGUAACUAUGCACGUCUUGACUGUACCUAAUCAGAAAGCCACGGCUAACUACGUG